AGCUACGGCCGCGUGGCGCGUUGGUACAUCCGAUCCCUCGAUCUCGGAAGUUAAGCAACGCUACGGUCCGGACAGUGCUCGGUUGGGAGACCCCCAACCAAGGACGACCAGAUUGCUGUAGCCU
rfam:Branchiostoma floridae genomic scaffold BRAFLscaffold_407, whole genome shotgun sequence.